rnacentral:rRNA from 1 species
CCUACGGGUGGCAGCAGUGGGGAAUAUUGGGCAAUGGGCGCAAGCCUGACCCAGCAACGCCGCGUGAAGGAAGAAGUCCCUCGGGUUGUAAAGUUCUUUUAUUCGGGACGAAACAAAUGACGGUACCGAAUGAAGCAGCCACGGCUAACUACGUGCCAGCAGCCGCGGUAAUAAGUAGGGGGCAAGCGUUAUCCGGAUUUACUGGGUGUAAAGGGAGUGUAGGCGGGAGAGCAAGUCAGACGUGAAAUUCCAGGGCUCAACCCUGGAACUGCGUUGGAAACUGUUCUGCUUGAGGGAUGGAGAGGUAAGUGGAAUUCCUAGUGUAGCGGUGAAAUGCGUAGAUAUUAGGAGGAACACCAGUGGCGAAGGCGGCUUACUGGACUGUAACUGACGUUGAGGCUCGAAAGCGUGGGGAGCAAACAGGAUUAGAUACCCUAGUAGUC